rnacentral:tRNA from 1 species
GGAGUAAGUUGAUCGAGUGAAAGCUUCUAACUUCACGCUCAAGCGGUUAAAUUCCGUUUUUAUUCCU